UUAAAUAAUUUAGAUGGCCUUUGCUAGUUUUCUAGCGAAUGGUUCAUUCUUUUUUACUGUGAACUGUUUUAAUUUUUCAGCGUCUGAGGAAUGUCUUUUAGCCAUAGGGAUAGGCUACUAGAAUGUUAACCGAGCUGAAAGUCAGGCUUAGGCCUGGUAUCCUAUUAAUUAUUUACCAAAAGAAUUCAGUAUUAUAAUUGUAACAUAAGCGUAAAAAACUUAUAAAACAACUUUUAACAACGGAUCUCUUGGUUCUCGCAUCGAUGAAGAACGUAGCAAAGUGCGAUAACUAGUGUGAAUUGCAUAUUCAGUGAAUCAUCGAGUCUUUGAACGCAACUUGCGCUCAAUGGUAUUCCAUUGAGCACGCCUGUUUCAGUAUCAAAAACACCCCACAUUCAUAAUUUUGUUGUGAAUGGAAAUGAGAGUUUCGGCUUUAUUGCUGAAUUCUUUAAAAUUAUUAGGCCUGAACUAUUGUUCUUUCUGCCUGAACAUUUUUUUAAUAUAAAGGAAUGCUCUAGUAAAAAGACUAUCUCUGGGGCCUCCCAAAUAAAUCAUUCUUAAAUUUGAUCUGAAAUCAGGCGGGAUUACCCGCUGAACUUAAGCAUAUCAAUAGC
rnacentral:rRNA from 1 species